rnacentral:lncRNA from 1 species
UUAUGAAAUAAAUCAGAUUCAAAAAUCAAGUGCAAAUGAAAGGGACAAAGGCUGCUGAAAGCUGUCGGACGCUUGGAUCGGACGUCCGAUAAUCAUUGCGCAACUUUGGACGCAUGAAGAACUCCACCACCGGACAUCCGAAGAAAAUAAGACAUUUCCCCUGACUCACUGAUCUCGAUCGGACGCAAGCAUCGGACGUCCGAUAAGAUCGUUCAAACUCGACGAAAGCUGUCGGACGCUCACAAAGACAAUACCGGACGUCCGAUAGAAUUGAAAUAUUUCUUCUAAUUCAUUGCCUGCUUUCAGACGCAAGCACCGGACGUCCGAUAGAAUUGAAAAAAAAUUUUCAAACUUACUGCCUGCUGUCGGACGCAAGAAACCAGACUACCAGACGCCCGAUACUCCAACGGCUAGUUGACUCUUCAUCUACUUUCUAUCCGUUGGAAGCAUUAAUGAAGCACUUUCUUGGUCUCCUAUAAAUAGAGUAUGGUCAGAAAGUUCAAAUAAUUUUUGCACACUGAAAAUACAAAAGAUCUAGAGUAGUUUUAGUGAGAAAACACUCUCCAAGGAAGAUUUGUAGUCUUAGUGGUGUGAGAUUCAUUGCAAACUUUUCAUUUGUGAGUGAAUAGUUCAUGAGUGUAGCUCUGUGAGGGUUGUCCUGAGGGAUAGUAAAACUUCUUAACUUGACCGAGUGGAGUUCGGGGUAAGGAGGAGGUGAACCUUUCUUUGUACACAAGAGUGAUUGUAAUUCAUCAACUUGAAGAAGCUUGUUUGAAUUAAUUUACAAGCUCAAGAGGAGUUGGGUAGUUAAUUGAUUUGCAAUUCUUUCCUUUUUAUUUACUUAUUGUUACGUUUGUGAUCUUUACAUUGCUUAUCUCUUCUACUUCUCUCAAGUGAUUUUGUUCAUUCAUUAAUUGAUUCAUUGUGUGAUCACUUAGAAAAGAGAGUAAAUUUCAUAUUGAGCAAAAAGUGCCCACAACUUAAUUAGGUUUUUAAUCAACCUAAUCCACCCCCUCGUAGGUUAUUUUCGAUCCUUACAAUUGGUAUCAGAGCAUCAUUACAAUUGGUGAACAUCAUUAAGGAAUCAAAAUAGUUCGUAGACAAUUGAUACUCAAGACACAUGACCGGUGGUCCAUCACAUUUCAUCAAACUCAAACCAAAAUCAAGUCGCAAAGUGACAUUUGGAAAUGAUAUAAAAGCAAAAAAUUAGAGUAAGAGAUGUUGGUAAGAAUGAUCAGAUUUUUGUUCAUAACUUUCUUUUGUAAUUUUUUUUAAUGUUUAUGAUAUUUUGAACUGAGUUUCCUUUGAUAUUUUUAAUAAUUAAUGGAUUUCGAUUGAUAUGAAUGUGGAUAUGAAUGUUGGUUUCAUUGAUGUUCAUUGUUAUUGUUUGGUCUCUUUUGAUGUGAUUUUUCUGUUAUUGACUGAUGAUGGUUGCAGCUACUGUUCUUUUUAUGGCAAUUACUCUCUACUUUUAUAAUGACAAAAAGGGAGAGAAAUUGUAAAAUGGAUGUGGUUUGGGAUGCUAUUAGUAAGGGGGAGUUCAUUUGAUGCUGGUUUGGGAUACUAUGAGUAAGGGGGAGUUUCUUCUCAUUUUCCUUCCAUCCAUCCAUUAUUUUGUCAUCAUCAAAAAGGAGGAGAAUGUUGAUCUUGAUCCCUAUCUUUUGACAUUUACAAAAUAAUGGAUAAUAUUAAUAUCUCUUCAAAAAAUAUUUUCAGUUAUGAAGCAAAUCAGAUUCAAAAAUUAAGUACAAAUGAAAGGGACAAAGGUUGCUGAAAACUGUCGAACGCUUGGAUCGGACGUCCGAUAAUUAUUACGCAACUUCGGACGCAUGAACAACUCUAUCAUCGGACGUCCGAAGGAAAUAAGACAUUCCCCCUGGCUCACUGACCUCGAUCGGACGCAAGUAUCGGACGUCAGAUAGGAUCGUUCAAACUCGACGAAAGCUGUCAGAC